GACGUAGGGCGCGAGCGUUGUCCGGAUUUAUUGGGCGUAAAGAGCUCGUAGGCGGCUCGUUGCGUCGGCUGUGAAAACCCGCAGCUCAACUGUGGGCUUGCAGCCGAUACGGGCGGGCUGGAGUUCGGUAGGGGAGACUGGAAUUCCUGGUGUAGCGGCGGAAUGCGCAGAUAUCAGGAGGAACACCAAUAGCGAAGGCAGCUCGCUGGGACGGUACUGACGCUGAGGUGCGAAAGCGUGGGGAGCGAACAGG
rnacentral:rRNA from 1 species